AAAGAAAAUAACAAUGAUUCCCCUAGUAACGGCGAGCGAAGAGAGAAUAGCUCAAAUUUUAAAUCUGUUGGGUCUUACCUAACCGAGUUGUAAUUUGAAGAAGCGUUUUCUGCGUGUUUGAUUUAGCCCAAAUCCUUUGGGAUAAGGUAUCAUGGAGGGUGAGAAUCCCGUCCGGCCUAAUCAAAUGUGCUUUUACGAUACGUUUUCUAAGAGUCGAGUUGUUUGGGAUUGCAGCUCAAAAUGGGAGGUAAAUUUCUCCCAAGGCUAAAUAUUGGCGAGAGACCGAUAGCGAACAAGUACCGUGAGGGAAAGAUGAAAAGAACUUUGAAAAGAGAGUUAAACAGUACGUGAAAUUGUUGAAAGGGAAACGAUUAAAGUCAGUCGUACUAACGGGGAAUCAACUUUUUGAGGGUGGAAUUGUGGGAUUCAGAGUGCCUCUGUCUUUCACAACCUGCUUUUUUUGGGUGCACUUUCUCGUAUUGUAGGUCAGCAUCGGUUUCGACCGUUAUAAAAUGACUGGAGGAAUGUAGCUUCGAUCUCGUAUCGAAGUGUUAUAGCCUUUGGUAGAUGUAACGGAUGGGAUCGAGGAUUGCAAUGAAUACCCUCAUGGGCUAUCCGCCUGGCCUCUGACAUGUGACUCUGGUGCCGAAAGCUUGCUUAUGGUAUUAUAGUGUACGGUCAAAAGGUUAGAACGGAUUAAAUU
rnacentral:rRNA from 1 species